rnacentral:rRNA from 1 species
CAGUCGCCACGGUAACACGUAGGGCGCAAGCGUUAUCCGGAAUUAUUGGGCGUAAAGAGCUCGUAGGCGGUUUGUCGCGUCUGCCGUGAAAGUCCGGGGCUCAACCCCGGAUCUGCGGUGGGUACGGGCAGACUAGAGUGAUGUAGGGGAGACUGGAAUUCCUGGUGUAGCGGUGAAAUGCGCAGAUAUCAGGAGGAACACCGAUGGCGAAGGCAGGUCUCUGGGCAUUAACUGACGCUGAGGAGCGAAAGCAUGGGGAGCGAACAGGAUUAGAUACCCCGGUAGUCCCUGUCUCUUAUAC